rnacentral:rRNA from 1 species
AUUGAACGCUGGCGGAAUGCUUUACACAUGCAAGUCGAACGGCAGCACGGGGGCAACCCUGGUGGCGAGUGGCGAACGGGUGAGUAAUGCAUCGGAACGUACCCAAUCGUGGGGGAUAACGUGGCGAAAGUCACGCUAAUACCGCAUACGUCCUGAGGGAGAAAGCAGGGGAUCGCAAGACCUUGCGCGAUUGGAGCGGCCGAUGUCUGAUUAGCUAGUUGGCAGGGUAACGGCCUACCAAGGCUACGAUGUUUAGGGGACCUGAGAGGGUUAUCCCCCACACUGGUACUGAGACACGGACCAGACUCCUACGGGAGGCAGCAGUGAGGAAUAUUGGUCAAUGGGCGCAAGCCUGAACCAGCCAUCCCGCGUGAAGGAAGAAGGCGCUAUGCGUUGUAAACUUCUUUUCCAGGGGUGAAUAAUUCCGAUGUAUCGGGAGAUGACGGUACCCUGGGAAUAAGCAUCGGCUAACUCCGUGCCAGCAGCCGCGGUAAAAGUC